UACGUAGGGUGCAAGCGUUGUCCGGAAUUAUUGGGCGUAAAGAGCUCGUAGGCGGUCUGUCACGUCGGCUGUGAAAACCCGGAGCUCAACUCCGGGCCUGCAGUCGAUACGGGCAUCACUGGAGUUCGGCAGGGGAGACUGGAAUUCCUGGUGUAGCGGUGAAAUGCGCAGAUAUCAGGAGGAACACCGGUGGCGAAGGCGGGUCUCUGGGCCGAUACUGACGCUGAGGAGCGAAAGCGUGGGGAGCGAACAGG
rnacentral:rRNA from 1 species